rnacentral:rRNA from 1 species
AUACCCUGGAGGUCACACCCGUUCCCAUCCCGAACACGGCCGUUAAGCUCCAGAGGGCCGAUGAUACUGCAUUUCUAAGUGUGGAAAAGUAGGUCGCUGCGACGU